rnacentral:rRNA from 1 species
CGCCCGGGCAGGUACGGCGGGAAAGAUCUCAAAUGAGGUAGGAUUACCCGCUGAAUUUAAGCAUAUAAUUAAGCGGAGGAAAAGAAACUAACAAGGAUUCCCUCAGUAACGGCGAGUGAAGCGGGAAGAGCUCAAACCGAAAAUCACUGCCGCCCCGGCAGCGAAUUGUGGUCUAGGGAGGCGUGUCUCAGUGUUCGACCCCGGCCUAAGUCCGUUGGAAGGCGGCAUCAGAGAGGGUGACAAUCCCGUCUUUGGCUGGUGUGCGUCGGCGCGUUCGAGCCGUCCUCUAAGAGUCGGGUUGCUUGGGAGUGCAGCCCUAAGUGGGUGGUAAAUUUCAUCUAAAGCUAAAUACCUGUUGAGAGACCCGAUAGCCGAACAAGUACCUGCCCCGGGGGCGUU